rnacentral:rRNA from 1 species
GGACGAACGCUGGCGGCGUGCUUAACACAUGCAAGUCGAACGGAAAGGCCCUGCUUUUGUGGGGUGCUCGAGUGGCGAACGGGUGAGUAACCCGUGAGUAACCUGCCCUUGACUUUGGGAUAACUUCAGGAAACUGGGGCUAAUACCGGAUAGGAGCUCCUGCUGCAUGGUGGGGGUUGGAAAGUUUCGGCGGUUGGGGAUGGACUCGCGGCUUAUCAGCAUGUUGGUGGGGUAGUGGCUUACCAAGGCUUUGACGGGUAGCCGGCCUGAGAGGGUGACCGGCCACAUUGGGACUGAGAUACGGCCCAGACUCCUACGGGAGGCAGCAGUGGGGAAUAUUGCACAAUGGGCGGAAGCCUGAUGCAGCAACGCCGCGUGCGGGAUGACGGCCUUCGGGUUGUAAACCGCUUUCGCCUGUGACGAAGCGUGAGUGACGGUAAUGGGUAAAGAAGCACCGGCUAACUACGUG